GUUAGCCUCGUGCGUUUUCCUUAGAACCGUAGCCACUCAUAUCCUUGUGUAAAACAACGCGCCUGACGUGAAUAAAGGAGCCCAAAGAGAAGGCCAUAACUUUACUAAAUAAGGUCUCAUCCUUUCUUGUUCAUAUCUUUUCUUGGCCAUGUUUUCAAAAUAGACGCUAUGUAUUCAUGCAGGCAAUUUUUUUUUCUUUUUUGAGAGAGUAGUUUUUGUAGAAGUUAAUCAUGUUGUUUCUUUAGGAUUAGGAAAUAAAGCCAAACCGAGUCCUAGUAGUAUUAGG
rnacentral:lncRNA from 1 species